rnacentral:rRNA from 1 species
UAGGGAAUCUUCCACAAUGGGCGAAAGCCUGAUGGAGCAACGCCGCGUGUGUGAUGAAGGGUUUCGGCUCGUAAAACACUGUUGUAAGAGAAGAAUGACAUUGAGAGUAACUGUUCAAUNUGUGACGGUAUCUUACCAGAAAGGAACGGCUAAAUACGUGCUAG